rnacentral:lncRNA from 1 species
CAGAAAAUAUGGUAAGCUAUGUUAACAAGCCAUAUUAGAUAUCAAGCAUUAAUAUGGAAAUAAACCAGCCCACCUGCACCCAGGUGAAAUAAACAGCUUUAUUGCUCACACAAAGCCUGUUUGGUGGUCUCUUCACAUGGACGCGCAUGAAAUUUGGUGCCGUGACUCGGAUCGGGGGACCUCCCUUGGGAGAUCAAUCCCCUGUCCUCCUGCUCUUUGCUCCGUGAGAAACAUCCACCUAUGGCCUCAGGUCCUCAGACCGACCAGCCCAAGAAACAUCUCACCAAUUUCAAAUCCGGCAUUGGGCUCUCACCAUUGGCCAAGAUUCCCUGCCCCGGUGAGGCCGGAAGCAGUUCAGACACCUGACUUCUGGCAACAUGUGAGCCUGACCCAAGCAGAUCACUGGUGACCAGUAAAUAUUGAAGCUCCAAGGUUCUUCCUUUAACAUACUGAAUUAAUGAGCCCCCUAGGGGCAUCCCCUAAAAUGACUGAGAUUUAAUUUCUCUCUAGCCUGAAUAAAGACUUAGAGCAGAUUAAAUUUGAUUUAGAGGAAGAAAAAAGCAGAGUGACUUUCUUACAACUUAGUAUUCUCAACUAAAAUUCAUACCCACAACACACAAAUACAUCCACACCAACACCCACCUAUCCACCUACCCACAUGCAUGCUUUGGAGGAUUUUGGAAGAGUGCUGAAUGGCAUGUUAUAAUUUUUCAAUUCGUUUAAAUAUUUAAAAAGUGAUAGUCUUUUAUGACUGGGUGCGGUGGCUCACGCCUGUAAACCCAGCACUUUGGAAGGCUGAGGCAGGUGGAUCAUUUGAGGCCAGGAGUUUGAGACCAGCCUGAGCAACGUGGCAAAACACCAUUCUACUAAAAUUAGAAAAAUUAGCCAGAUGUGGUGGCACAGGCCUGUGAUC